CCGCACGAGCGCAACCCUUAUCCCUAGUUGCCAUCAGGUAAGCUGGGAACUCUGGGGAGACUGCCGGUGAUAAACCGGAGGAAGGCGGGGAUGACGUCAAGUCCUCAUGGCCCUUACAUCCCGGGCUACACACGUGCUACAAUGGCAGGUACAGAGGGCUGCGAAGCCGCGAGGUGGAGCGAAUCCCAGAAAACCUGUCUCAGUCCGGAUUGAAGUCUGCAACUCGACUUCAUGAAGGCGGAAUCGCUAGUAACCGCGAAUCAGCAGGUCGCGGUGAAUACGUUCCCGGGCCUU
rnacentral:rRNA from 1 species